rnacentral:rRNA from 1 species
UACAGAGGUGGCAAGCGUUGUUCGGAAUUACUGGGCGUAAAGGGCGCGUAGGCGGCCUUCUAAGUCAGACGUGAAAUCCCCAGGCUUAACUUGGGAACUGCGUCUGAUACUGGGAGGCUUGAGUGCGGGAGAGGGAUGUGGAAUUCCAGGUGUAGCGGUGAAAUGCGUAGAUAUCUGGAGGAACACCGGUGGCGAGGGCGGCAUCCUGGACCGACACUGACGCUGAGGCGCGAAAGCUAGGGGAGCAAACGGG